AGAGUUUGAUCCUGGCUCAGGACGAACGCUGGCGGCGUGCUUAACACAUGCAAGUCGAACGGUAAGGCUCCUUCGGGAGUACACGAGUGGCGAACGGGUGAGUAACACGUGAGCAAUCUACCCUUGACUCUGGGAUAACAGUUGGAAACAACUGCUAAUACCGGAUACGACCUCGACGGGCAUCCGACGGGGUGGAAAGUUCCGGCGGUCAGGGAUGAGCUCGCGGCCUAUCAGCUUGUUGGUGAGGUAACGGCUCACCAAGGCGUCGACGGGUAGCCGGCCUGAGAGGGCGACCGGCCACACUGGGACUGAGAUACGGCCCAGACUCCUACGGGAGGCAGCAGUGGGGAAUAUUGCGCAAUGGGCGAAAGCCUGACGCAGCAACGCCGCGUGCGGGACGACGGCCUUCGGGUUGUAAACCGCUUUCACCCAUGACGAAGUGAAAAUGACGGUAGUGGGGGAAGAAGCACCGGCCAACUACGUGCCAGCAGCCGCGGUGAUACGUAGGGUGCGAGCGUUGUCCGGAAUUAUUGGGCGUAAAGAGCUUGUAGGCGGUCUGUUGCGUCGAAAGUGAAAACUCAGGGCUCAACCCUGAGCCUGCUUUCGAUACGGGCAGACUAGAGGAAGGUAGGGGAGAACGGAAUUCUUGGUGGAGCGGUGGAAUGCGCAGAUAUCAGGAAGAACACCGGUGGCGAAGGCGGUUCUCUGGACCUUUCCUGACGCUGAGAAGCGAAAGCGUGGGUAGCAAACAGGCUUAGAUACCCUGGUAGUCCACGCCGUAAACGGUGGGUACUAGGUGUGGGGAGCAUUCCACGUUCUCCGUGCCGUAGCUAACGCAUUAAGUACCCCGCCUGGGGAGUACGGCCGCAAGGCUAAAACUCAAAGGAAUUGACGGGGGCC
rnacentral:rRNA from 1 species